rnacentral:tRNA from 1 species
GCCACCGUAGCUCAACUGGUAGAGCAGCGGUUUUGUAAACCGCAGGUUGUCGGAUCGUGCCCGACCGGUGGCU